AACGGACCAUACGCGCAGCUUGCUGCGUGUAUGGUUAGUGGCAGACGGGUGAGUAAUGCAUAGGAAUCUACCUAGUAGUAUAGGAUAGCCACUAGAAAUGGUGGGUAAUACUGUAUAAUCCCUGCGGGGGAAAGAUUUAUCGCUAUUAGAUGAGCCUAUGUCAGAUUAGCUAGUUGGUGGGGUAAUGGCCUACCAAGGCGGUGAUCUGUAGCUGGUCUGAGAGGAUGAUCAGCCACACUGGAACUGAGACACGGUCCAGACUCCUACGGGAGGCAGCAGUGGGGAAUAUUGGACAAUGGGCGCAAGCCUGAUCCAGCUAUGCCGCGUGAGUGAGGAAGGCCUUAGGGUUGUAAAACUCUUUCAGUAGGGAAGAUAAUGACGGUACCUACAGAAGAAGUCCCGGCAAACUCCGUGCCAGCAGCCGCGGUAAU
rnacentral:rRNA from 1 species